AUGUAGCUGUGCGUGCACUGAGGGUCUGAGUACGCAGUCCAUGCUCACCUGACGACUGCUCGCUGCGUUUUGCCAGCC
rnacentral:sRNA from 2 species